AAGUAUCACUGCUCUUUUAGAAUUUGUCUAGCAGGGCUGGGUGUGGUGGCUCACACCUGUAAUCCCAG
ensembl:snRNA U7 U7 small nuclear RNA